UACGUAGGGUGCAAGCGUUAAUCGGAAUUACUGGGCGUAAAGCGUGCGCAGGCGGUUUUGUAAGUCUGUCGUGAAAUCCCUGGGCUCAACCUAGGAACUGCGUUUGAAACUACAAGGCUAGAGUGUAGCAGAGGGGGGGUAGAAUUCCACGUGUAGCAGUGAAAUGCGUAGAGAUGUGGAGGAAUACCAAUGGCGAAGGCAGCCCCCCUGGGUUAACACUGACGCUCAUGCACGAAAGCGUGGGGAGCAAACAGG
rnacentral:rRNA from 1 species